rnacentral:rRNA from 1 species
AGUGAACGCUGGCGGUAGGCCUAACACAUGCAAGUCGAACGGCAGCACAGUAAGAGCUUGCUCUUACGGGUGGCGAGUGGCGGACGGGUGAGGAAUACAUCGGAAUCUACUUUUUCGUGGGGGAUAACGUAGGGAAACUUACGCUAAUACCGCAUACGACCUACGGGUGAAAGCAGGGGAUCUUCGGACCUUGCGCGAUUGAAUGAGCCGAUGUCGGAUUAGCUAGUUGGCGGGGUAAAGGCCCACCAAGGCGACGAUCCGUAGCUGGUCUGAGAGGAUGAUCAGCCACACAGGAACUGAGACACGGUCCAGACUCCUACGGGAGGCAGCAGUGGGGAAUGUUGGACAAUGGGCGCAAGCCUGAUCCAGCCAUACCGCGUGGGUGAAGAAGGCCUUCGGGUUGUAAAGCCCUUUUGUUGGGAAAGAAAAGCAGCAGGUUAAUACCCCGCUGUUCUGACGGUACCCAAAGAAUAAGCACCGGCUAACUUCGUG